GAGUUUGAUUCUGGCUCAGAACGAACGCUGGCGGCGUGGAUAAGACAUGCAAGUCGAGCGAUCAUUCGGUUGCAACAAUGUGGCCGGGUGGGAGCGGCGCAAGGGUGCGUAACACGUGGGUAAUCUGCCCUGAAGUUGGGGACAACUCCGGGAAACCGGAGCUAUACCGAAUGUGGAUCCUGGGGGGCCUCCUUUGGGAUCCGAAGCUGGGGACCGCAAGGCCUGGCGCUUCUGGAUGAGCCCGCGGCCUAUCAGCUAGUUGGCGGGGUAACGGCCCACCAAGGCGAAGACGGGUAGCUGGUCUGAGAGGACGACCAGCCACACUGGAACUGAGACACGGUCCAGACACCUACGGGUGGCAGCAGUCGAGAAUUUUUCACAAUGGGCGCAAGCCUGAUGGAGCGACGCCGCGUGGGGGAUGAAGGGCUUCGGCUCGUAAACCCCUGUCAGUUGCGAACAAGGCGCGCCGGUGAACAGCCGGCGUGUUGAUGGUAGCGACAGAGGAAGGGACGGCUAACUCUGUGCCAGCAGCCGCGGUAAUACAGAGGUCCCGAGCGUUGUUCGGAUUUACUGGGCGUAAAGGGUGCGUAGGCGGUUGGGCAAGUCUGAUGUGAAAGCCCCGGGCUCAACCCGGGAAUGGCAUCGGAAACUGCCUGGCUAGAGGGCUGGAGGGGGGAUUGGAAUUCCCGGUGUAGCAGUGAAAUGCGUAGAGAUCGGGAGGAACGCCAGUGGCGAAGGCGAGUCCCUGGACAGCCCCUGACGCUGAGGCACGAAAGCCAGGGGAGCAAACAGGAUUAGAUACCCUGGUAGUCCUGGCUGUAAACGGUGCACGUUUGCUGUGGGCGGAAUCGACCCCGUCCGUGGCGAAGCUAACGCGUUAAACGUGCCGCCUGGGGAGUACGGUCGCAAGAUUAAAACUCAAAGAAAUUGACGGGGGCCUGCACAAGCGGUGGAGUAUGUGGCUCAAUUCGAUGCUACGCGAAGAACCUUACCUGGCCUUGACAUGCGCGUGGUAGGAGUCUGAAAGGAUGACGACCCCGCAAGGGGAGCGCGCACAGGUGCUGCAUGGCUGUCGUCAGCUCGUGACGUGAGAUGGGUUAAGUCCCGCAACGAGCGCAACCCCUGCGUCCUGUUGCCACCCGGUCGAGAGACUGGAGCACUCUGGACGGACUGCCUCGCUUCAACGGGGAGGAAGGUGGGGAUGACGUCAAGUCAGUAUGGCCCUUACGGCCAGGGCUGCACACGUACUACAAUGCCCGGCACAGUGGGAGGCGAGACCGCAAGGUGGAGCAAAUCCCCCAAAACCGGGCCCAGUUCAGAUUGUCGGCUGCAACUCGCCGGCAUGAAGCUGGAAUCGCUAGUAAUGGCGCAUCAGCUACGGCGCCGUGAAUACGUUCCCAGGCCUUGUACACACCGCCCGUCACAUCAUGAAAGCCGGUGGUACCCGAAGUCGCCGCGUCAACCGCAAGGGGACAGGUGCCGAAGGUAUGACUGGUGAUUGGGAUGAAGUCGUAACAAGGUA
rnacentral:rRNA from 1 species